rnacentral:misc_RNA from 1 species
CUUAUCUUUUAUCAUUUUCCAAAUGAUCCUCGUCAUUUCAUCACCAUCCAUUUCAACGAUUGGAUUUUGAAUUUUAACUCGAUCAAAGCCACUGGAAGAAGCAAAGCAUCGAAGAAAAACGGAGCGCGAUAACUGAGAAGAGAAAGCAACGCGGCUCCUAAGAGGUCCCCCAUUGAAGAGCUUAGAAGAGGAAGAGAAUGGGGAACUACGGAUUUUAAGGCCUACCGAUGAUUUGGAAGGGGAGAGCAUCGUAGCGCCAGGCAUGAGUAGAAAUCGG